rnacentral:rRNA from 1 species
GAGAAGCUUGCUUCUCUGAUGUUAGCGGCGGACGGGUGAGUAACACGUGGAUAACCUACCUAUAAGACUGGGAUAACUUCGGGAAACCGGAGCUAAUACCGGAUAAUAUUUUGAACCGCAUGGUUCAAAAGUGAAAGACGGUCUUGCUGUCACUUAUAGAUGGAUCCGCCGCUGCAUUAGCUAGUUGGUAAGGUAACGGCUUACCAAGGCAACGAUGCAUAGCCGACCUGAGAGGGUGAUCGGCCACACUGGAACUGAGACACGGUCCAGACUCCUACGGGAGGCAGCAGUAGGGAAUCUUCCGCAAUGGGCGAAAGCCUGACGGAGCAACGCCGCGUGAGUGAUGAAGGUCUUCGGAUCGUAAAACUCUGUUAUUAGGGAAGAACAUAUGUGUAAGUAACUGUGCACAUCUUGACGGUACCUAAUCAGAAAGCCACGGCUAACUACGUGCCAGCAGCCGCGGUAAUACGUAGGUGGCAAGCGUUAUCCGGAAUUAUUGGGCGUAAAGCGCGCGUAGGCGGUUUUUUAAGUCUGAUGUGAAAGCCCACGGCUCAACCGUGGAGGGUCAUUGGAAACUGGAAAACUUGAGUGCAGAAGAGGAAAGUGGAAUUCCAUGUGUAGCGGUGAAAUGCGCAGAGAUAUGGAGGAACACCAGUGGCGAAGGCGACUUUCUGGUCUGUAACUGACGCUGAUGUGCGAAAGCGUGGGGAUCAAACAGGAUUAG